UGAUUAGAGAAUGUUCAUAAUCCAUCUCUUUCAAUCAUUAGGUUCAUUCGCUACCUUUUCACUGGUAGGUUUUAGAACAUGCGCAUUGAGUUCUAGAAAUUCUAUUGAGUCAUCAUGGUUUGUUCAGAACUAGGAACUGAGAAGUUCUUGUUCUGAAAGUUUGUCUUUGUUUGGUUCUCAAAAUGUUUUAGCUUACUACUCC
rnacentral:lncRNA from 1 species